UACGUAGGGGGCAAGCGUUGUCCGGAAUUAUUGGGCGUAAAGCGCGCGCAGGCGGCUUCUUAAGUCUGAUGUGAAAGCCCACGGCUCAACCGUGGAGGGUCAUUGGAAACUGGGGAGCUUGAGUGCAGAAGAGGAGAGUGGAAUUCCACGUGUAGCGGUGAAAUGCGUAGAGAUGUGGAGGAACACCAGUGGCGAAAGCGGCUCUCUGGUCUGUAACUGACGCUGAGGCGCGAAAGCGUGGGGAGCGAACAGG
rnacentral:rRNA from 1 species